GAAAACGACUAUAGGUUCAGUGAACGCCUCUGCUUAUUAGUAAUCCCACAAGCGGGUCCGGCAUAAGUCACGCCUCCUCCAAUUUAGUCAAUGCCUCUGCUCGUUAAAACCCUCCUCCCGCCUUAAAAUCACCGCAGCCACCACCACCGGUAUUAAAACCCUCCUCCCGCCUUAAAAUCACCGCAGCCACCACCACCGGUAGUUAUGGCGUUUUCGGAGUUUAGGCCACUUGAUGAGAAAUCUUUGAUCGAGUACAUCAAGGCCACACAUGUAUUAUUCAACAAGGUUGGCAACAAUUACGAUAAGUUGAAAAUCA
rnacentral:lncRNA from 1 species